rnacentral:rRNA from 1 species
GCCUAAAGGGGCCGUAGCUGGCCGUUCAAGUCCCCUGUUAAACCCAGCGAUUUAAUCGUUGGUCUGCGGGGGAUACUGUUCGGCUAGGGGGCGGGAGAGGCAGACGGUAUUUCCGGGGUAGGGGUGAAAUCCUAUAAUCCCGGGAAGACCACCAGUGGCGAAGGCUGUCUGCUAGAACGCGCCCGACGGUGAGGGAUGAAAGCUGGGGGAGCGAACCGGAUUAGAUACCCGGGUAGUCCCAGCUGUAAACUAUGCAGGCUAGGUGUUUGGGCGGCCACGUGCCGCUCUAGUGCCGCAGGGAAGCUGUUAAGCCUGCCGCCUGGGGAGUACGGCCGCAAGGCUGAAACUUAAAGGAAUUGGCGGGGGAGCACCACAAGGGGUGAAGCUUGCGGUUUAAUUGGAGUCAACGCCGGAAAUCUCACCGGGAGCGACAGCAGAAUGAAGGCCAGAUUGAAGGUCUUGCUGGACGAGCUGAGAGGAGGUGCAUGGCCGUCGCCAGUUCGUGCCGUGAGGUGUCCUGUUAAGUCAGGCAACGAUCAAGACCCGCGUCCUCUGUUGCUACUGGCCUUGCGCCAGGCACACUGAGGAGACCGCCGCUGAUAAAGCGGAGGAAGGAGCGGGCCACGGCAGGUCCGUAUGCCCCGAA